rnacentral:rRNA from 1 species
CCUACGGGUGGCUGCAGUAGGGAAUAUUGGGCAAUGGACGGAAGUCUGACCCAGCCAUGCCGCGUGCAGGAUGAAGGCGCUCAGCGUUGUAAACUGCUUUUAUCGAUGAAGAACGGUCAGGGUGCGCCCUGAUGUGACGGUAAUCGAGGAAUAAGCACCGGCUAACUCCGUGCCAGCAGCCGCGGUAAUACGGAGGGUGCGAGCGUUGUCCGGAUUUAUUGGGUUUAAAGGGUGCGUAGGUGGUUUGGUAAGUCUGAUUUGAAAGCUAGCUGCUU